UCUCCGUUGGUAAACCAGCGGAGGGAUCAUUACAGGACUCGCAAGACUCCUUCACACUGUGAACCUCACUACAAGCACGUUGCUUCGGCGGGUGUCCCGGCGGGGGUUUUCCCUCGCCGGGGCGCACAGCCCGCCGGCAGCCUACUAUACUCUGUCUCUUUGCGUUGGCAUCUCGAGAAAAAACAAACAAGUUAAAACUUUCAACAACGGAUCUCUUGGUUCUG
rnacentral:misc_RNA from 1 species